CAAACCUGGUUGAUCCUGCCAGUUAGUCAUAUGCUUGUCUCAAAGAUUAAGCCAUGCAUGUCUAAGUAUAAACUGCUUUAUACUGUGAAACUGCGAAUGGCUCAUUAAAUCAGUUAUAGUUUAUUUGAUGGUACUUACUACUCGGAUAACCGUAGUAAUUCUAGAGCUAAUACGUGCGUAAAUCCCGACUUCUG
rnacentral:rRNA from 1 species